rnacentral:sRNA from 1 species
ACAACAAUCAAUACAUUCUAAACAAAAAAGAAAAGUGAGCACUGAUUGAUGCUUUCUUACUCAGAAGUGCUACACUGUGGCUGGCACCGGCCGAUACAAGAAGAACACGACGAGGUGGAGCAGCCACUUCACUAGUCCCUUCAUCUUCCAUCUGCACGAUCGCAACUGUCUACAAAACUUGCUCUGCUCGGUGAAAGAAGUUUUGAUUCUUAUAUAUACGCGCACAGACAGAGAAGCAUCUAAGAAAACGAAAAACAUGUUGUUCAAAGAGUCAAAAUGUCCGUAGAACAAACAAGUCUUAUUCACACCAAACAAAAGGGGUGGGUGAAAGUUUAACAUUAUCAGGUGAGGAUAAUUGGACUGGAAACACAUGCGUUAAGGACAGGUAAUAUAAAGACGAUGGAAUUCAAUGAUGAUGGCCCAAAUGUUGGAUCUUUCUCUUGAUUCUAUUUCAGCCACUGCCAUGAAUUUGACAUGUGAUGUGGUCUAGACUCAAGAACUAGACCUGUAAACUUUUUAGAAUCAUAAUGAUACGGUUGGAAUUUUAUGACUCAAAG